rnacentral:rRNA from 1 species
GACGUAGGGCGCGAGCGUUGUCCGGAUUUAUUGGGCGUAAAGAGCUCGUAGGCGGCUUGUCGCGUCGAAUGUGAAAACUUGGGGCUCAACUCCAAGCUUGCAUUCGAUACGGGCAGGCUAGAGUUCGGUAGGGGAGACUGGAAUUCCUGGUGUAGCGGUGAAAUGCGCAGAUAUCAGGAGGAACACCGGUGGCGAAGGCGGGUCUCUGGGCCGAUACUGACGCUGAGGAGCGAAAGCGUGGGGAGCGAACAGGAUUAGAAACCCUAGUAGUCC